GGAGAGAAUCCCUCUGCCACCUCAGCCCCACCUCGGAGAGUUGCCCCUUGGCAGUCUGGAUGGCACAGGAUCCGUCACACUCCGGCACCCUCUGGCGCAGCGGGACAGCCCGGGCUGUGGAGUCCGAUAGUCCCAAGGGAGAGGCCCAGCUCUGCCAGCCUGUAGCCGCGUGACCUUGGGUCUGUAUAUCCCAUGCCUGUCCUGCCUCCCUGUCCAGGAUUCCAUCCCAGGCCACCCACAUCUGCACCACAGGCGGUGCUGUCACAAUGGAGGUCUGCACACAGUAUGUCGCAUAAAGAACGGAUGGCCAAACAGGAGCAGUUUUGUUUGUGAC
rnacentral:lncRNA from 1 species